CAGUCGCCGCGGUAAUACGAAGGGGGCUAGCGUUGUUCGGAUUUACUGGGCGUAAAGCGCACGUAGGCUGCUUUGUAAGUCAGAGGUGAAAGUCCGGGGCUCAACCCCGGAUGUGCCUUUGAGACUGCAGGGCUAGAACGUCGGAGAGGUGAGUGGAAUUCCGAGUGUAGAGGUGAAAUUCGUAGAUAUUCGCAGGAACACCAGUGGCGAAGGCGGCUCACUGGCUCGAUACUGACGCUGAGGUGCGAAAGCGUGGGGAGCAAACAGGAUUAGAUACCCCCGUAGUCCCUGUCUCUUAUAU
rnacentral:rRNA from 1 species